rnacentral:rRNA from 1 species
GGGACGGGUGAGUAAUGUCUGGGAAACUGCCCGAUGGAGGGGGAUAACUACUGGAAACGGUAGCUAAUACCGCAUAACGUCGCAAGACCAAAGAGGGGGACCUUCGGGCCUCUUGCCAUCGGAUGUGCCCAGAUGGGAUUAGCUAGUAGGUGGGGUAACGGCUCACCUAGGCGACGAUCCCUAGCUGGUCUGAGAGGAUGACCAGCCACACUGGAACUGAGACACGGUCCAG